UACUGCGGAGACAUUAACGAGUUCUGAAUGGGUUGUAGCUGGCCUUCCGAGGCAUGUGCACGCCCUGCUCAUCCACUCUACACCUGUGCACUUACUGUAGGUCGGUUUGGGUUCUUCGAGGUCUUCAUUGAUCUUGGGAGCUCUGGCCUUCCUAUGUAACCUACACACUCUUCAGUAUCAGAAUGUAUUCGCGAUAUAACGCAUAUAAUACAACUUUCAGCAACGGAUCUCUUGGUUCUCGCAUCGAUGAAGAACGCAGCGAAAUGCGAUAAGUAAUGUGAAUUGCAGAAUUCAGUGAAUCAUCGAAUCUUUGAACGCACCUUGCGCUCCCUGGUAUUCCGGGGAGCACGCCCGUUUGAGUGUCGUGUAAUUCUCAACCCAUACAUCCUUGUGGUGGAUGGGCUUGGAUUUGGAGGUUAUUGCUGGCUCCUAGCAGUCGGCUCCUCUUGAAUGCAUUAGCUUGAUUCCGUGCGGAUCGGCUCUCGGUGUGAUAAUUGUCUACGCCGUGACCGUGAAGCGUUUGGCGAGCUUCUAGUCGUCCUUCAAGGACAAUCUUACCUGACAUCUGACCUCAAAUCGGGCGGGACUACCCGCUGAACUUAAGCAUAUCUA
rnacentral:rRNA from 1 species